rnacentral:tRNA from 13 species
AGGCUCCACCGACAAUUGAACUCGGAUCGCUGGAUUCAGAUUUCAGAGAGCUAACCAUUACACCAUGGAACC